AUACGGAGGGUGCAAGCGUUACUCGGAAUCACUGGGCGUAAAGCGCGCGCAGGCGGCUAUUUAAGUUGGAUGUGAAAGCCUACGGCUCAACCGUAGAACUGCAUCCAAAACUAUUUAGCUAGAGUGUGAGAGAGGAAGAUGGAAUUAGUUGUGUAGGGGUAAAAUCCGUAGAGAUAACUAGGAAUACCAAAAGCGAAGGCAAUCUUCUGGAACACUACUGACGCUGAGGCGCGAAAGCGUGGGGAGCAAACAGAAUUAGAAACCCUAGUAGUCC
rnacentral:rRNA from 1 species